rnacentral:rRNA from 1 species
AGUUUGAUCAUGGCUCAGGAUGAACGCUAGCGGCAGGCCUAAUACAUGCAAGUCGAACGGUCCUAGCAAUAGGAUAGUGGCGCACGGGUGCGUAACGCGUAACCAACCUACCUGAAUCUGGGGGAUAGCCCGCCGAAAGGCGGAUUAAUACCGCAUAAGACUACAGAGGGGCAUCUCUUAGUAGUUAAAGAUUUAUUGGAUUCAGAUGGGGUUGCGUAGCAUUAGCUAGAUGGCGGGGUAACGGCCCACCAUGGCGACGAUGCUUAGGGGACCUGAGAGGGUGAUCCCCCACACUGGCACUGAGAUACGGGCCAGACUCCUACGGGAGGCAGCAGUAGGGAAUAUUGGGCAAUGGCCGAGAGGCUGACCCAGCCAUGCCGCGUGCCGGAUGAAGGCCUUCUGGGUUGUAAACGGCUUUUCUCAGGGAAGAAAAAGGGGAUGCGUCCCACACUGACGGUACCUGAGGAAUAAGCACCGGCUAACUCCGUGCCAGCAGCCGCGGUAAUACGGAGGGUGCAAGCGUUGUCCGGAUUUAUUGGGUUUAAAGGGUGCGUAGGUGGCUUGUUAAGUCCGGGGUGAAAGCCCACAGCUCAACUGUGGAACUGCCCUGGAUACUGGCAGGCUUGAGAGUCGUCGAGGGUGGCGGAAUGGACGGUGUAGCGGUGAAAUGCAUAGAUACCGUCCAGAACC